rnacentral:rRNA from 1 species
UACGAAGGGUCCAAGCGUUGUUCGGAAUUACUGGGCGUAAAGCGCACGUAGGCGGAUUUGUAAGUCAGAUGUGAAAGCCCCGGGCUCAACCUGGGAAUUGCAUUUGAAACUGCAAACCUUGAAUGCUUGAGAGGGUGACGGAAUUCCUGGUGUAGAAGUGAAAUUCGUAGAUAUCAGGAGGAACACCGGAGGCGAAGGCGGUUGCCUGGCGAUGCAUUGACGCUGAGGUGCGAAAGCGUGGGUAGCAAACAGG